UACGAAGGGUGCAAGCGUUACUCGGAAUUACUGGGCGUAAAGGGUGCGUAGGUGGUUGUUUAAGUCUGUUGUGAAAGCCCCGGGCUCAACCUGGGAAUGGCAAUGGAUACUGGACAGCUAGAGUGCGGUAGAGGGUAGUGGAAUUCCCGGUGUAGCAGUGAAAUGCGUAGAGAUCGGGAGGAACACCAGUGGCGAAGGCGGCUACCUGGACCAGCACUGACACUGAAGCACGAAAGCGUGGGGAGCAAACAGGAUUAGAUACCCUGGUAGUCCACGCCCUAAACGAUGCGAACUGGACGUUGGGUGCAACUUGGCACUCAGUGUCGAAGCUAACGCGUUAAGUUCGCCGCCUGGGGAGUACGGUCGCAAGACUGAAACUCAAAGGAAUUGACGGGGGCCCGCACAAGCGGUGGAGUAUGUGGUUUAAUUCGAUGCAACGCGAAGAACCUUACCUGGUCUUGACAUGUCCGGAAUCCUGCAGAGAUGCGGGAGUGCCUUCGGGAAUCGGAACACAGGUGCUGCAUGGCUGUCGUCAGCUCGUGUCGUGAGAUGUUGGGUUAAGUCCCGCAACGAGCGCAACCCUUGUCCUUAGUUGCCAGCACGUAAUGGUGGGAACUCUAAGGAGACUGCCGGUGACAAACCGGAGGAAGGUGGGGAUGACGUCAAGUCCUCAUGGCCCUUAUGGGUAGGGCUUCACACGUCAUACAAUGGUCGGUACAGAGGGUUGCCAAGGCGCGAGCCGGAGCCAAUCCCAGAAAGCCGAUCGUAGUCCGGAUCGCAGUCUGCAACUCGACUGCGUGAAGUCGGAAUCGCUAGUAAUCGUGGAUCAGCAUGCCACGGUGAAUACGUUCCCGGGUCUUGUACACACCGCCCGUCACACCAUGGGAGUGGGUUUCACCAGAAGUAGGUAGUCUAACCGCAAGGGGGGCGCUUACCACGGUGGGAUUCAUGACUGGGGUG
rnacentral:rRNA from 1 species